rnacentral:rRNA from 1 species
UACGUAGGGUGCGAGCGUUUGUCCGGAAUUAUUGGGCGUAAAGAGCUUGUAGGCGGUUUGUCGCGUCUGCUGUGAAAAUCCGGGGCUCAACCCCGGACUUGCAGUGGGUACGGGCAGACUAGAGUGUGGUAGGGGAGACUGGAAUUCCUGGUGUAGCGGUGUGAAUGCGCAGAUAUCAGGAGGAACACCGAUGGCGAAGGCAGGUCUCGUGGGCCACUACUGACGCUGAGAAGCGAAAGCAUGGGGAGCGAACAGG